AUGGCUGGACUUUUCAUGGGCGAGGAGAGCCAGGAGCGGAUGAAUCUACGGGUGACACGGGUCUUGGUGACUGUGAGCCACCUCGCGCAUCUUACCCUGGCCCAAUUAUCCGGGAUCCGUCGGCGUAGAGACUCCGGUGUGCGGAUGUCUCUGGUGUGGGUGGCGUACCACGUGACCGAGAUAAUCACGCCAAUCGCCCUCGGCAAGGUGUUUCUCGACACCGCGACCGCGGUUAGCGAGGAGCUGAUGUUUCUCCUGCUGCACCUUGGUCGCCCGGACAACAUCACCAGCUACGCCUUGGAGCACAAUGAGCUGUCGCCGACCCAAAAGGCUGCUCUCGUCCUUGAAAUCGGAGGAGCUAUCUAUGGCUCAUACAAGCAAAGAUUUAUGCGCGGCGAUGCGGCUCUACGCGCCACCUUCUUCAUCAUGCUCUUCUUGGGCUCCUAUAAGUACGUGGAGAGGGCGGUUGCGCUACGGCGAGCUUGCUUUGACAACAUUCGUCGCUCAGCCGGGAGAAAGAAGUUACGGCGCUUCACAUUUGAGGACGAAGGCCGCAAGUGGGAUAAUGAUGAUGCCCUGCUUGAUGCUCACGGCCUUCUCGGUGUCACCAUGGGUGCCUUCGCUGACUAUCAAGUCCACCGCAGGAGGUAUGUCCCAUCCUAUUCUGGCUGGAAGGGUGUGAGCGAGGUGGUUGAGAUGGAGGCGUCGCUCAUGUACGACAUGUUGUACACCAAGGCAAGUGUGAUCCGCACUUGGGCCGGCUACAUCAUCCGUGUCCUCUCACCGCCGGCAACUGCCACGACGCUCUAUCUCUUCCACAGUAAGGAGGGCAAUGCCAUGGAGAGUGCAGAUCGGACGGUCACAUACACCUUGCUUGUUGGUACCCUGGUGUUGGAUGUGAGAUGGCUGCUGAGAGCACUAGGGUCCACCUGGACAUAUGCGUUCUUGGUAGAGCAAGGGGAAGGAAAAGAAUGGCUGCUUCCGGUUCGACGGACCUUCCCGGACAAUUUGCCACGUCAAGCUGCAAUGCAAUCAUGGUAUUGCGUCCGUCGCCUCCUCGUCUCUCUGGAUAUGUCCCGUCUCUCACUGAGAAGCGGCCCGAGUGGCCAUAGGUUGUUGUCCGGCGCGGGGCAACACAACUUGUUGCAAGAGUGUUGUACCUGUACUCCUCCUCGCCCUCCGGGCCAACUGGAGAAGCUGGUCUAUUCUUUCUUCACUGGACUUGGGAAGAAGACUGAUGAUGUCAAGGAUGAGUUGUUGGAAGCUGUGUGUACACAAGUACUGCUGGAAUCUUGCACACUCGUCGGGAUGCGUCCCAUAAGGGAACUCGAUGAUUUUAUGAGGUCUAAUGCCAGUAACUAUAGUUUUGAAAGCAACCUCAUCGCCCUGCACGUCGCCACGGGUAUUUUCCUCUUGUGCAAGCCGACUUCGAUAAAAAGUGAAGCAUCAGCCAAAUACGAGAAGCAGAUACGAGCAAUAUCAGAUUACAUGAUGUUCCUCCUCGCUGAACGCCAGCACAUGGUAUUGAGACAGGGUGACGAGGGUGUCCACUACAAAAAGGCCCGCCUCGAUUUGGAGGAGAUAUGGAGUGAACGAGGAACCGACAAUUCUCCAACAAUAAGAGAGACCAAGCAGCUUGCCAACAUCCUUCUAGACAUGGAUGCCACUGAGGGCAGCUGCGUGCUUGGAAGAUCAAGUCAUCUUUAUGACAGAAACGAUACUCUCGGGCUUGGUGCUUACUGGGCCUUCAACCUGUUAGAUGAGCUAGAACCGGGAAAUUAUGGACGACAUCCGAUGCAGGGCCAAUACAUUCACAAACUUGAAGCUUUCAUCCCGGCAUUCACCGAUGAGGUACAAACAAAAGUUAGAGAGCAUAGGGACCGUGGGGAACAACCAGAACUCCUCGAUUGUAUGUUGCAGACCAUUCUUGUUUCAUGGGUACGUCUUCUCACCUUCACGUCCGACCAAUGCAGCAGGGAUUCCCAUGCCAAGCAGCUCAGCUGCGGCGGUGAGCUCUUAACCAUCGUCUGGCUGAUGAAUCGACAAAAUGAUGCACGGGCAAAGGGUACUGAAGAUCGAGACCAAGCGGCAACAGGUUCAGAUACUGUUCACCAUCCGGCAAGCGAGGAAGCAACGACAAGAACCAAGGCUUCGAGUGGGCCUGCGGCGCUGCCCACUCGAACCACGACGAAGCCCAGAUGGAACGACGGCCCAGAAUGGACUCGGUAG
rnacentral:rRNA from 1 species